rnacentral:rRNA from 1 species
GGAGACACCAGUGGCGAAGGCGCUCUGCUGGGCCAUAACUGACGCUCAUGGACGAAAGCCAGGGGAGCGAAAGGGAUUAGAUACCCCUGUAGUCCUGGCCGUAAACGAUGAACACUAGGUGUCGGGGGAAUCGACCCCCUCGGUGUCGUAGCCAACGCGUUAAGUGUUCCGCCUGGGGAGUACGCACGCAAGUGUGAAACUCAAAGGAAUUGACGGGGGCCCGCACAAGCGGUGGAGUAUGUGGUUUAAUUCGAUGCAACGCGAAGAACCUUACCAGGGUUUGACAUCCUGCGAAUCUCUUGGAAACGAGAGAGUGCCCUCGGGAACGCAGUGACAGGUGGUGCAUGGCUGUCGUCAGCUCGUGUCGUGAGAUGUUGGGUUAAGUCCCGCAACGAGCGCAACCCACGUCUUUAGUUGCCAGCAUUUAGUUGGGCACUCUAGAGAGACCGCCGGUGAUAAACCGGAGGAAGGUGUGGAUGACGUCAAGUCAUCAUGCCCCUUACAUCCUGGGCUACACACGUACUACAAUGCUACGGACAAAGAGCAGCAAGUUCGCGAGGACAAGCAAAUCUCAUAAACCGUGGCUCAGUUCAGAUCGUAGGCUGCAACUCGCCUACGUGAAGGAGGAAUCGCUAGUAAUCGCAGGUCAGCAUACUGCGGUGAAUACGUUCCCGGGCCUUGUACACACCGCCCGUCACACCAUGGAAGUUGGCCACGCCCGAAGCCGUUACUCCAACCCUUGUGGAGGAGGACGUCGAAGGUGGGGCUGAUGACUGGGGUGAAGUCGUAACAAGGUAGCCGUACCGGAAGGUGCGGCUG